rnacentral:rRNA from 1 species
UACAGAGGGGGCAAGCGUUGUUCGGAAUUACUGGGCGUAAAGGGCGCGUAGGCGGCCCACUAAGUCGAACGUGAAAUCCCCGAGCUCAACUCGGGAACUGCGUCCGAUACUGGUGGGCUUGAAUCCGGGAGAGGGAUGCGGAAUUCCAGGUGUAGCGGUGAAAUGCGUAGAUAUCGGAAGGAACAUCAGUGGCGAAAGCGACUUCCUGGACCAGUACCGACGUUCAGGCACGAAAGCGUGGGGAGCAAACAGG